GAUCAUCUCUCCUGUCUGUGGAACUGUUAAGUAAAAUUAAUAAAGAAAAGGUUAAAAGUUGAAUUUUGCCCUUCUCCACCAGACCACAAAGAUACCUAGGAUACAGGACUGUAAACACAAAGAAAAUAAGCUCUGAAAACUGUAUAUAUUCAUAUUAGUUGUGGUGCAGAUUUUUUGCAUGGUCACAUUUAAAUCCUAUUAACUGAAAUACAAUGUAAACUCAUUUGUAUUAAUGUAUGCCAGUGUGCAGGCAUAUAAGCAUGCCAGAGAACAUGUACUGAGAGCACUGCAGCUUCUUGUCGAAUUAUCUGGCACAGACAUCAAAGAAAAAAGUCAAAGACAUUGACCCAAGACAGAUGAGAGAGUUGUUGUCGUCCCAGGAAGUGAAUCCACUGGGACUGCAGUAUCCGUCAGUCAUGGUCCUCAGUAGGUGUGUGGCUAGAGCUCAGCUCUUCUUUAGGUUGUAUAUUGGUUUGUCUGAAGGUCCAGUGUAUCUUCUAUUUGUUUGCUAGUGAACUGCGUGAAUGUUUGAUGAAAACAAGCCUGGAAACUGGGGGAAAGGAAAGGGAGUUGGGUCUAAGUGUGAAAGAUUGUUUCACACUGAGAGUGAGGUGCCACUGUGCCUAAUUUACCUGCAGGUGUAACAGGCAGAGUAAAAUUUACUUGUGCUUGCUGUUCUGUGUUUUUGUGCAGGCAGCACUGUCCUUGUGCUUUGGCCUAUUUCACCUUUACCUGUCUCCAUUCUGGGCACAACAGUGGUCUGUGGAAUACACAGGAGGAGCAUUACAGGCCAUGAUUUGUCGUUGCGGCCUGUAUCGAAGGUGGAGACAGAUCACAGAGACAGCACCCAUGGGCAUGCAACUUUCCCAUCUCCUGUCCUCCUGCAGCAUGAUGUUGUGCCCAAAAGCACUGGAAAAGGUCUCCACCAGCCACAACAAUGUAAGAUCUUGUUAAGGGAGGCAUACCUUGCUAGUGGGAACCGGGGAUCUGACCUGAACUCCAACUUAAUGCAAGAUUUUGUCCAGCAUAUCCCAUCGAGGCCCAGGAACACAUGCUUUGCAGCAGCAGAUGUUCCAGGAAAACAACAAUUUUGAUGAAACCCAGAGAAAGAGAGCCUACCACUUUCUUUAAUAAUAUAUAAUAAUAGCAAUUAAUCUCACUGUUUAAAGGUGUAUUUUUUAUUUAAAUAUUUUUAUAGGCUUUAUUUCCUCUUUUUUGUCCGUGUUAUUAUAUUUUCAUAUCUGACCACUUCUCAUACUCAUCAGUAGGCUGACACCAUCCUGUACCAGGUUAUCAUUCUUAAUGAUAAAAUAAAUGAUUUGCCAUAAGAAAAAUAAUUCUAAAA
rnacentral:lncRNA from 1 species